UGGGAUGGUCUUGAUUACUGCAGUGU
rnacentral:piRNA from 1 species